UACGUAGGGGGGCAAGCGUUGUCCGGAUUUAUUGGGCGUAAAGAGCGUGUAGGCGGCCACACAGGUCUGCUGUGAAAACUCGAGGCUCAACCUCGAGCUGUCGGUGGAAACCGUAUGGCUAGAGUCCGGAAGAGGAGAGUGGAAUUCCCGGUGUAGCGGUGGAAUGCGUAGAGAUCCGGAGGAAGACCGGUGGCGAAGGCGGUCUGCUGGGCAGUUUCUGACACUGAUGCGCGACAGCGUGGGGAGCAAACAGG
rnacentral:rRNA from 1 species